rnacentral:rRNA from 1 species
UACCCUUGACAUGUCCGGAAUCCUGCAGAGAUGCGGGAGUGCUCGAAAGAGAACCGGAACACAGGUGCUGCAUGGCUGUCGUCAGCUCGUGUCGUGAGAUGUUGGGUUAAGUCCCGCAACGAGCGCAACCCUUAUCAUUAGUUGCUACGCAAGGGCACUCUAAUGAGACUGCCGGUGACAAACCGGAGGAAGGUGGGGAUGACGUCAAGUCCUCAUGGCCCUUAUGGGUA